AACCAUUCUCACCUGCGGCUAGACCUGCGGAAGGAUCAUUAAAAAGAGUGUGUACCCCUCUGUAAAAUGAGUGGGUUACCUCCCGUCCUUUGUUGACCUCUUAGGAGGUUAUUUUGAACUUUCUGCUUCGGUGGGGUUAAACCUACCGGAACACCCUCAAAUUCUUAUCAUUUAAAAAUUGUUCAGUCUGAUUUUUGUUAAUAAAAACAAAAAACUUUUAGCAACGGAUCUCAGAUCGGA
rnacentral:misc_RNA from 1 species